AUGGGGCCCAAUCAAUAUGCGUGUCCCGUAGCUCCGCCAGCCUUCUAUUUAUGCUCUCUCCCAUGGACGGAGAGAGGCAUCCAGAAGCAGAAGCAAAGCUCACACAAAGUCACAAGAAUGAUGAACCCAAAGAGCCGUGUCCAAGAGUGGGUGGCCGACCACAUCGAGCUCAUCCCGGGGAUGCCCGACGACGUCGCCGUCGACUGCCUGGCGCGCGUCCCGCACGGGUCCUACCGCUCGAUGCGCCGCGUGUGCCGCGGCUGGCGGAGCGCCGCCGCCGCCCCGGAGUUCGCCCUGGCGCGCGCCGAGGCCGGUGCCAACGAGGAUCUGGUCUUUCUCAUGCAGUUUGGCAACCCGGUGGCCGGGGACGACGGGGCGCCCGAGAACACCCCGGCGUACGGCGUGGCCGUGUACAACGUCACCACCGGGGAGUGGCACCGCGAGAGCUCGGCGCCGCCGGUGCCGAUGUUCGCCCAGUGCGCGGCCGUGGGCACCCGCGUCGCCGUGAUGGGCGGCUGGGACCCCAAGACCUUCGAGCCCGUGGCGGACGUCAACGUGCUGGACGCCGCCACCGGCGUCUGGCGCCGCGGCGCGCCGAUGCGGUCCGCGCGGUCCUUCUUCGCCUGCGCCGAGGCCGGGGGCAAGAUCUAUGUCGCCGGCGGCCAUGACAAGCUCAAGAACGCGCUAAAGACGGCCGAGGCGUACGACGCGGAGGCCGACGGCUGGGACCCGCUCCCGGACAUGUCGGAGGAGCGCGACGAGUGCGACGGCAUGGCCACCGUCGCCGGCGACCGGUUCCUGGCCGUGAGCGGGUACCGCACGGGGCGUCAGGGAGGAUUCGAGCGGGACGCCGAGUGGUUCGACCCGGCGACACGCGAGUGGCGCCGCUUGGAGCGCGUGCGCGCACCGCCUUCGGCGGCUCACGUGGUGGUGCGCGGGCGGGUGUGGUGCAUCGAGGGCACGGCCGUGAUGGAGUGGCGCGGGGAGCGCCGUGGCUGGCUCGAGGUGGGCCCUUACCCGCCUGGUCUGAAGGCCGGCACGGCGCGCGCGGUCGCCGUCGGCGGCGGCGAGCGCGUGGUGGUGACCGGCGCCAUCGAGUCCGAGGGAGGCGGCGGCGGGCACGCGCUGUGGGUGUUCGACGUCAAGUCCAAGAACUGGACCGUGGUGCGCCCUCCGCCGCAGUUCGCCGGCUUCGUCUUCUCCCUGGCCUCCGUCCGCGUGUGA
rnacentral:rRNA from 1 species